rnacentral:rRNA from 1 species
AGUGAACGCUGGCGGCAGGCCUAACACAUGCAAGUCGAACGGCAGCACAGCAGUAGCAAUACUGUGGGUGGCGAGUGGCGGACGGGUGAGGAAUACAUCGGAAUCUGCCUAGUCGUGGGGGAUAACGUAGGGAAACUUACGCUAAUACCGCAUACGACCUACGGGUGAAAGCGGGGGAUCGCAAGACCUCGCGCGAUUAGAUGAGCCGAUGUCCGAUUAGCUAGUUGGCGGGUAAUGGCCCACCAAGGCGACGAUCGGUAGCUGGUCUGAGAGGAUGAUCAGCACACUGGAACUGAGACACGGUCCAGACUCCUACGGGAGGCAGCAGGUGGGGAAUAUUGGGCAAUGGGCGCAAGCCUGAUCCAGCCAU